AACAAAAGAUGGCUGGCUUUUAGAGUCUGACUCAGCGUCCCCGCUCAUCAGUUGUUUGCUGAAAUGAAGACAAUAUGUGCGAUGGCGAUACAGCGCUAGAAAGGGAUGGCUAAGUCCAUGGUGUUUGCACCUGAUGCUAGGGCAGCAGAAAGCCACUGUGUAGCCUCAAUACCACUCAAGGACCUGUAAACUACCAAAGAUUGAAGAAAUAAAUGGUGUUCGAGGUCACUCAUCCAUUAAAAGGACUUUAAAGAAGAAUAUCUUCGUUAUGAGAAGAAUAGUCACAAUAACAACUUAAGGAAGAUUACGGACUGUUCUUUUCUGAACAGGACUGCACCUGUUCAGUUGGGCAGGUUGUUCAUGGCACAAUAGAGUUGGUCCUAAAAUCAGUCUGCUUCUCUGCUCACUAAACCUGUACCUUACUGUGGGGCUGCAUCGGCCCAGAAGGAAUGCCUUCUUCCAGCUCACACAAAGGCAUCCCAUGAAGUAGUGUGGAUCCUCUCAAGGUCUGAAAAUGAUGCAUGUCUUCUGCUUAGAUCACUUCUUAAAGUCACUUCCAGAUUCAGGUAGGAAACAAAUGAUGGGAAAAAAAAAGAGAAGAUAAAAACGAUCGGAAUAUAAGGUAUAGGAAAUUUAAAAAGAGUAGCUCAGUGAGGUCAAUCAUGAGGAACAGUGGGAGGUCUCAAGACAGGUGAAGGCACUCCCUCCCACCCCUGUAGACUCUGGUACUGUGAGUAAACGUGGAGAGAAAGUUCACAGUGACCUAAUAAAUGGAAGAAAGGAAAACAGGGCAAAAUGCAAUGCAGAGCCGUUUCACAGGAAGAAGCUACAUGAGUCUAGCAGCUAAACCCAGCAAUUGUUUAACUGGGGCUGGAAACAUUUCAUUUGCCAGCAACAGGCCUGUUUUUAGGGAGACCAUGUAAAAUGAGUGUGUUUCUGACAGCCCCUGAGCUUUUCACUUUCGUCCAAACUCCCUUCGCCCCCUGCCCGCCCCACCACCGCCGUGUGGCCGACGGCUACAGCUGACGUCUCACAUCUCCACUUGGAUGAUGAAAGCUUCCAUAUCACGUUCACAUCUGCAGGGCUCUGCCGCUCUCAGUUCUGACCGCUAACUGCUCAGUUGCACAUUUCACAAAAGGAAGUCCUGAACUCGGAGAAGUUUGGACUUGAAACGAGACCGGGAAGACCUGUGGCCAACACCCCUGUUGGAUUCUUGUGACUUCAGGCUUCUGUGUGGGAACAUCACUGAACCCAGCUGAGGAAUUUACAACAUGAUCUGCUUCCCUUGGGAUUAACCUUUAAUUACUUAUCCAUCCAUCCAUCCAUCCAUCCAUCUUGGUCCAUGAUCUCACAUAGACCCUCAACUGUGUUAGAUGCUGGGAAUACAAAGAUAACUGAGGCAUGGCGACUGCCUCCAAAGUCUUCAGUAAGAAAUGCUAGGUCAUACUGAAUGUGGAGUUUGAUAUACCCCACCUCCAUUUUAGUAAGUAUCCUUGCAAAGGUUUGUUACCUAAUUUAGUUAUUAUUAGCUGUCUAAGUAAAACUUUUCAAAAUGUUUAUUUAUUUAUUUUGAGAGAGAGAGCACAUGCGAGUGAACAUGA